rnacentral:rRNA from 1 species
GACGAACGCUGGCGGCGUGCCUAAUACACGCAAGUCGAGCGGACCUCUUCGGAGGUCAGCGGCGGACGGGUGAGUAACACGUGGGCAACCUGCCUGUAAGACUGGGAUAACACCGGGAAACCGGUGCUAAUACCGGAUAAUCCUUUUCCUCACAUGAGGGGAAGCUGAAAGACGGUUUCGGCUGUCACUUACAGAUGGGCCCGCGGCGCAUUAGCUAGUUGGUGGGGUAACGGCCCACCAAGGCGACGAUGCGUAGCCGACCUGAGAGGGUGAUCGGCCACACUGGGACUGAGACACGGCCCAGACUCCUACGGGAGGCAGCAGUAGGGAAUCUUCCGCAAUGGACGAAAGUCUGACGGAGCAACGCCGCGUGAGCGAAGAAGGCCUUCGGGUCGUAAAGCUCUGUUGUCAGGGAAGAACACGUACCGGAGUAACUGCCGGUACCUUGACGGUACCUGACCAGAAAGCCACGGCUAACUACGUGCCAGCCGCCGCAGUAAUAC